UACGAAGGGGGCUAGCGUUGUUCGGAAUCACUGGGCGUAAAGCGCACGUAGGCGGAUUUUUAAGUCAGGGGUGAAAUCCCGGGGCUCAACCUCAGAACUGCCUUUGAUACUGGAGAUCUUGAGUCCGGAAGAGGUAAGUGGAACUGCGAGUGUAGAGGUGAAAUUCGUAGAUAUUAGCUAGAACACCAGUGGCGAAGGCGGCCAACUGGUCCGGUACUGACGCUGAGGUGCGAAAGCGUGGGGAGCAAACAGG
rnacentral:rRNA from 1 species